rnacentral:misc_RNA from 1 species
UCGAGUUACCGCUCUACAACCCUUUGUGAACAUACCUAACUGUUGCUUCGGCGGGCAGGGGGGUCCCCCCGGGGACGCCCCCUCCCGGCCCCGCCCCCCUACCAGGGGGACGUGGGCGCCCGCCGGAGGAUACCCAACUCUAUUUUAACGACGUUUCUUCUGAGUGGCACAAGCAAAUAAUUUA